rnacentral:rRNA from 1 species
AGUGAACGCUGGCGGUAGGCCUAACACAUGCAAGUCGAACGGCAGCACAGUAAGAGCUUGCUCUUACGGGUGGCGAGUGGCGGACGGGUGAGGAAUACAUCGGAAUCUACUUUUUCGAGGGGGAUAACGGAGGGAAACUUACGCUAAUACCGCAUACGACCUACGGGUGAAAGCAGGGGAUCUUCGGACCUUGCGCGAUUGAAUGAGCCGAUGUCGGAUUAGCUAGUUGGCGGGGUAAAGGCCCACCAAGGCGACGAUCCGUAGCUGGUCUGAGAGGAUGAUCAGCCACACUGGAACUGAGACACGGUCCAGACUCCUACGGGAGGCAGCAGUGGGGAAUAUUGGACAAUGGGCGCAAGCCUGAUCCAGCCAUACCGCGUGGGUGAAGAAGGCCUUCGGGUUGUAAAGCCCUUUUGUUGGGAAAGAAAAGCAGCAGGUUAAUACCCCGCUGUUCUGACGGUACCCAAAGAAUAAGCACCGGCUAACUUCGUG